rnacentral:snRNA from 1 species
UAUCCAUAUAAGAGAAAUAAU